AUACUUCAGGGGCAACAGAGUUACCAUGAUCACAAAAGUGAUUUUCUCAAGGUGAGGCUUCUCCAUGGCACUCCAGAUGUAUCAACUCCAGUGAUUUCCUCAAAUGACAAAAACUCUGCUGCAGAUUUGUGCUGUUGGAGAUCACAGCUGUACUCUCCC